rnacentral:rRNA from 1 species
AGUGAACGCUGGCGGUAGGCCUAACACAUGCAAGUCGAACGGCAGCACAGUAAGAGCUUGCUCUUACGGGUGGCGAGUGGAGGACGGGUGAGGAAUACAUCGGAAUCUACUUUUUCGUGGGGGAUAACGUAGGGAAACUUACGCUAAUACCGCAUACGACCUACGGGUGAAAGCAGGGGAUCUUCGGACCUUGCGCGAUUGAAUGAGACGAUGUCGGAUUAGCUAGUUGGCGGGGUAAAGGCCCACCAAGGCGACGAUCCGUAGCUGGUCUGAGAGGAUGAUCAGCCACACUGGAACUGAGACACGGUCCAGACUCCUACGGGAGGCAGCAGUGGGGAAUAUUGGACAAUGGGCGCGAGCCUGAUCCAGCCAUACCGCGUGGGUGAAGAAGGCCUUCGGGUUGUAAAGCCCUUUUGUUGGGAAAGAAAAGCAGCAGGUUAAUACCCCGCUGUUCUGACGGUACCCAAAGAAUAAGCACCGGCUAACUUCGUG